rnacentral:rRNA from 1 species
UACGUAGGUGGCAAGCGUUGUCCGGAAUUAUUGGGCGUAAAGCGCGCGCAGGCGGUCCUUUAAGUCUGAUGUGAAAGCCCACGGCUCAACCGUGGAAGGUCAUUGGAAACUGGGGGACUUGAGUGCAGAAGAGGAAAGCGGAAUUCCACGUGUAGCGGUGAAAUGCGUAGAGAUGUGGAGGAACACCAGUGGCGAAGGCGGCUUUCUGGUCUGUAACUGACGCCGAGGCGCGAAAGCGUGGGGAGCAAACAGG